rnacentral:other from 1 species
UGAUGCCUGGGAUGCACGACAUACUUAUUUAAUUACUUCCACAAACAGACAUACGGGAAUUCAGUAUUAUCUCUGUGGCUGUCAGGCCUCUUUAGGAGGAAGACAAAAGCAGGAUCGAGAACAACCACCUAGCAUUAUUGCUGGGAGUCUCUUAUAAGUAUGACCGACAUCCUGGGUACUAA